rnacentral:misc_RNA from 1 species
AUAUGCUUAGUUCUUCCAUGAAAAAUGUGAUUUUUAGCCAUAGCCACAGCAGAUUGAUUGUCACAAUAAAUGGUUAUAGCUUCUUCUUGCAUCUGGUGUAAAUCAUUGAGAAUUUUUCUCAACCAUAUAGCUUGAUUAACAGCAGUUGCAGCUGAAAUAUACUCUGCUUCAGCUGAUGAUUGAGCCACAACAUCUUGCUUUUUGGAACUCCAACUUAUAACACCUGAACCAAUGGUGAAUGCAUACCUAGACGUGUUCUUCAGGUCAUCAACUGAACCACCCCAAUCGCUAUCUGCAUAUCCCAUUAACUUCACUUCAAAUUUUCUUUUAAACUAAACUCCAAGAUCAGUUGUUCCUCUCACAUAUUUUAACACCUUUUUUGCUGCUUUAAAAUGAAUUUCACUUGGAGCUUGUAUGAACCUGGACAAUAGACUUGUAGCAAACAUAACGCCAGGUCUUGUAGUAGAUAAAUAUAACAAACACCCAAUUAAACUUCUAUAAAUUCCAGCAUCCACCUUAUCAGAUCCAUCUUCUUUGCUCAGUUUUUCAUUCUGAGCUAAAGGGGUAUCAGCUGCUUAACAAUUCUCCCUGCCAAAUUUCCUUAAAAUCUCCUUAGCAUACUUCUCUUGAUUUAUUAAAGUUCCCUCCUCAAAUUGAUGAACUUCCACUCCAAGGAAAUAAGACAUCUUUCCAAGAUCAGUCAUCUCAAACACAUUCCACAUUUCCUUCUUAAAUUCUUUGACAAAUGAGAUAUUGCUACCAGUAAUGAGAAGAUCAUCUACAUACAAUGACACUGUCAGUAAAUCACCAUUAACACUUCUCACAUACAAGGUAGCCUCACUAAUGCUUCUUUUGAACCCCAUCAUCAACAAAUGCUCAUCUAUUCUGGUGUACCAAGCUCUGGGAGCCUGUUUUAAACCAUAUAGAGCCUUCUUGAGCACAAAAACCUUAUCUUCUUUUCCUUUCAUAAUAAAACCAGGUGGUUGUUCUACAAAUAUUUCCUCCUGCAGAUAACCAUUCAAGAAAGCUGAUUUGACAUUAAGCUGAAAAAUUUCCCAAUAUUUCUGAGCUGCAAAGGCAAUGAGAAGCCUUAUAGUGUCAUACCUUGCUACUGGUGCAAAGGUAUCUGUGAAAUCCACCCCAUACUGUUGUAAGUAGCCCUUGACAACUACUCUUGCUUUGAAUUUAUUGACUGAACCAUCUGAAUUCAACUUGGUUCUAUAAACCCAUCUCACUCCAAUUACUUUCUUAUUGGUAGGCUUGUCAACUAGCGGCCAAGUUUCAUUUUUAUGAAUCAUUUUCAGCUCCUCCUCCAUUGUAGCCCUCCAAUUUGAAGACUUUACAGCUUCUUCAUAACUCACAGGUUCUACCAAAGCUAUAUUGCAUCGUUCAUAAAUAUCAGCUAAAGAUUGGGUUCCUCUCACUACAUUUUUAGUAUCUGAAUCACUUCCAGUGUCAGCUUCAUCUUCUAAAAAAAUAUUUUUGCUGAUAAUCACCUUCUCAGUUUGCACUUUGAAUACUCUAUAACCCUUCACAUUGCUAACAUAUCCAAGAAACACUCCAAUCUCAGCCUUGUGAUCCAACUUACUCCUCUUAACAUAACAAAUGCAUCCAAACACUCUUAGAUGACUGACUGAAGGUUUAUUCGCAAACCAUGCUUCGAAUGGAAUUUUAUCUUUUAAGGCUCUUGUAGGUAACAAAUUCAGCAAAUAUACAGCAGUGUUAACUGCUUUAGCCCAAAACUUUUUAGGCAUAUCUUUCUCAAAUAAAAGACACCUUGCAAUUUCCAUCACUGUUCUAUUCUUUCUCUCGCUCACCCCAUUCUGUUGAGGAGUAUAACUGACAGUGAGCUGAUGAUGAAUCCCAACUUCUUCAUAAAACUUAUCAAACCUCUCAGAAGUAUAUUCAGUUCCAUUAUCAAACCUUAAAGUCUUUAUUUUACAAUCAGAUUGAGUCUCCACCAUAGCUUUGAAUUUCUGAAAUACACCAAAAACUUCUAACUUCUGUUUCAGAAAGUAAACCCGGCACAUUUUAGAAAAAUCAUCAAUGAAGAGAAUGAAAUAUCUGCUUCCACUUAAGGAUGGAGUAUUCAUGGGUCCACACACAUCAGUGUGAAUGAGUUGCAGCUUCUGAGAUGCUCUCCAAGCCAUAUUCGUUGGAAAUGGCAGUUUUUUUUGCUUCCUCAAUUGACA